GUGGGGAAUUUUGGACAAUGGGCGCAAGCCUGAUCCAGCAAUGCCGCGUGCAGGAAGAAGGCCUUCGGGUUGUAAACUGCUUUUGUACGGAACGAAACGGUCCUGGCUAAUAUCCGGGGCUAAUGACGGUACCGUAAGAAUAAGCACCGGCUAACUACGUGCCAGCAGCCGCGGUAAUACGUAGGGUGCGAGCGUUAAUCGGAAUUACUGGGCGUAAAGCGUGCGCAGGCGGUGCUGUAAGACAGGCGUGAAAUCCCCGGGCUCACCCUGGGAAUUGCGCUUGUGACUGCAGUGCUGGAGUGCGGCAGAGGGGGAUGGAAUUCCGCGUGUAGCAGUGAAAUGCGUAGAUAUGCGGAGGAACACCGAUGGCGAAGGCAAUCCCCUGGGCCUGCACUGACGCUCAUGCACGAAAGCGUGGGGAGCAAACAGGAUUAGAAACCCCUGUAGUCC
rnacentral:rRNA from 1 species